rnacentral:rRNA from 1 species
UAAUUGGAGGGCAAGUCUGGUGCCAGCAGCCGCGGUAAUUCCAGCUCCAAUAGCGUAUAUUAAAGUUGUUGCAGUUAAAAAGCUCGUAGUUGAACCUUGGGUCUGGCUGGCCGGUCCGCCUCACCGCGAGUACUGGUCCGGCUGGACCUUUCCUUCUGGGGAACCUCAUGGCCUUCACUGGCUGUGGGGGGAACCAGGACUUUUACUGUGAAAAAAUUAGAGUGUUCAAAGCAGGCCUUUGCUCGAAUACAUUAGCAUGGAAUAAUAGAAUAGGACGUGCGGUUCUAUUUUGUUGGUUUCUAGGACCGCCGUAAUGAUUAAUAGGGAUAGUCGGGGGCGUCAGUAUUCAGCUGUCAGAGGUGAAAUUCUUGUAUUUGCUGAAGAGUUAGCAAUGCGAUAGCCCUCGCCAGUGAAAGUAUCGAGGGCAAGUCUGGUGAAACACUGCCUGCAGAGUGCGAGACGAAACAUACGACUGAAAUGA